UCAAAGUAAUUGAUGAAAUUAACUUUGAUGAAUGUCCUUUUUUGAUUCAACUUCAUAAUUUGCCUCUUGAAAAAAUGUUUGUGAAAAAUGCAAUUUUUCUUCGAUCUAAGUUUGGUAAAGUUGUGAUGGUGAAAGAUCCUAAGAAAGGUGAGAAGACUAGGCAUGGUUUUCUUCAUAUUCGUGUUCUAGUUAAUAUUCAUCUAUGUCUUGUGCUUGGUUUGUGGGUUGAAAGACCUGAGAACGAUCCUGUUUGGAUUUCUGCAAAAUAUAAGAAACUAAAUGAUUUUUGUUUUAAAUGUGGUCAUCUUGAUCAUGAUCCUUAUACAUGUACUAGUGUGCAUCAGUGUUUUGAUAUAAAUCAGAUGAACUAAAAUUUGGAGCGUGGUUGUCAUUAGCACAAGUGAAAAGUUGGGAGGAUGCUCUUAUUGAAGUUGAACACGGUUGGUUUUUAGUGGAAGAUAUUAGAAGAAAGAGAGGGUUUGAUUCAUCAUGGAGGAGUAAGGCUCUUUUAUUAUCUUCUACCUCUGAGAAUUAUUCUAAAAUAGAAACAAGAUCUAUGGCUGGUGAAAAAUUAGUUGAAAAGGAAGAGAGUAUUGGUCAGUUUAUUCAACAGGAUGAGUUGGAGGUUGAUGUGAUGAAAAAGGAGUUUGAGAUUAAUGUCAAAAAGGACUAGUUGACUGUUGAUAUUGAUAAGUCAACUCAAUCUUGUAAUUCGACUAGAGAGGCUAUAGAAAAGAAUAAAAAAGGAAAGAAAAUUGUGUCUGGGCCUGUUGAUGAGAAUUUGGGUCGUCUUGCUGAAAAUAAAAUUUGUUUGGAAGCCCAAUUGAAAGAUAAUUUGCAAACUAUUGACAGGACUAAAGGUGACAUUUUUCUUGAUAUUGGUGCUAGUUUUGUUCCUGAAAAUCUAGAAAGGGCUAUCGUUCCCUUUUAUAGAAAAGAAAAAGUGACUACAGUUACAGAAAAAUUGAAAGUUGUCAGUUUGAAGACAGAUGCUGAUGAAGAGUUAUGGAAUGAAGUGCAUAAAAGAAGAAAAUCUUGUAGUUAGGAGGUGAAUCAAAAGGCUGUGGUUUCUAUUUUGGCUAAAGGUCUUCGUAAAGAGAAGUUAAGGGUUCGAAGAAGUCGAAAAAAGAGUUUAACAAAAACAAAUAAAGAAGCUAUUGAGGAUGGAAAUUUGUUUAAUAUUCCUUUUGAGCUUAUGAGUUCUGAGGAGAUAGGAAAUUUAGUGGAAAGGGGAAUAAGAGAAGUGAUUGAUGUUGAAGGUGUGGGUGGCUGGCCUUUAACAACCACCAUAGAGCUAUGAAGCUUAUAUAUUGGAACUGUCGAGGCUUGGGGCUGCCUUGACAAUUAAAAAUCUCAAAGAGAUUAAUAGAAAAUUCAAGCCCUCAAUCAUUUUUCUUAUGAAGACUAAAAUGCUGGAGAAAAAGUUGAAAACAAUUAGGAGGAGAUGUCAUAUAAAGAAGGAUUUUUAUGUUAAUCCUAAAGGGAGAUCAGGAGGUUUGGCCCUGUGGUGGAAUGGAUUUAUUGAUGUUGAUGUGAUCUUUAGUUCUCGAAAUUUAAUUCAUGUGCAUUUGUAUUCAUCUACUAUUUCCGUGCCCGCUUUUGUUACAUUUGUCUAUAGUCAUCCUAUUGAGCAUGAGAGAAGGGCGGUGUGGAAUAGAUUAAGAUCAUUAGCUAGAGGUGUAGUGGGGUCUUAUUGUUGCAUUAGAGACUUCAAUGAUUUAGCUUCUAUUUUUGAAAAAUCAAGAGGUAGAUUGAGAGCUUUAAGGGUGGUAAGAACUUUCAGAUGACUCUUUUUGACUAUCAUCUUAUAUAUAUUGGUUUUCAAAGGUCAAGGUUUACAUGGAAUAAUGGCAAAUUAAGGGAUGAUCAUGUAAAGGAGAGGUUGGAUAGGUGUGUUGGUAAUUCUAAGUUUCAUGAGGAAUUUGAAAAGGCUAUGGUUUUCCAUGUAGAGCUGAUUAGCUCAGAUCAUCAUAUCAUUCUUCUUGAUUGUUGUUUUAUUAAUAAAAGAUCACAAAAGAUGUUUCGAUUUGAUGCCAACUAGGUUUCACAUACUGAUUAUGAGAAAGUGGUUUCUAAGGGUUGGAAAAGAGUAUAUGUUUUUUGGGAUAAUAAUAGGCAAGAGAUUGUGGUUCAUCAAGAUUCUUGUAAGAAAGAGUUGAGGAAAUGGAGUAAAGAAGUGUUUCCUAAUAAUAAGAAGGUUGUUGAUGAGUUGAUGGUGAAAUUGCAAGCUUGUAAUGAGGGCAUAUGGGAUGAAAACACAAAGAUAAAAGCAAAGAAAAUUGUAAAGCAGAUUGAUAAGGUUUGGAGAAGGGAAGAAAUUUUUUAGUGGCAAAAAGCUAGAGUCAAUUGGAUCAACUUUGGUGAUCAAAUACUAAAUUUUUUCACUCCACUGUCUUACAGAGGAGGGCUCAUAAUAAGGUGUUAAAGUUGAGAGAUGAUAAUGGGAGUUGGUUAGAAGAGUCUACUAAAAUUAAUAGUAUUUUUUUAGCAUAUUAUAGAAAAUUAUUCUCUUCUGUUGGACCAAGACCAAUGGAUGAGGCUCUGCAAUAUGUGAGGAAAGUAAUUACUGAUGCUAAUAAUCAAUCCUUAAUGAUGGCUAUGUCUGAAGUAGAAAUUGAGGAGGCAGUUUUUCAGCUUAAUGCAACUAAUGCUCCUGGUCCUAACGGCUUCACAGGUUUGUUCUAUCAAUCUUCUUAGUCUACUGUGAAACCUAGGAUUUUUAAAUUGGUUUUUUAGUUUUUCAAUGAUGGAUUGAGUUGAAUGAUAUUAACAUGACAAUUAUUGUCCUUAUCCUCAAAGUAGAUAAACUUGAAGCUGUGAAUCAGUUUAGGCCUAUUGGUCUCUGUAAUGUUGUUUACAAAAAUAUUUCAAAAAUUUUCACUAAUAGAAUAAAGGGGUUGAUGAUUAGAUGUAUUUCACAAUAGCAGAGAGGUUUUAUUGCUGGUAAGCUAAUGCAUGAUAAUAUAAUUGUGGCUCAUGAAGCCUUUCAUGAUUUGAAAGGUAGAACAAAUUGUAAAACUAUUGAAUUUGCUAUGAAAGCUGAUAUGGGUAAAGCAUAUGACCAUAUUGAAUGGGAUUUCUUGUAUGCUAUGUUGAUUCGUAUAGGUUUUGAUCUGAAAUGGGUUGAAUGGAUUAUGAAGUAUGUGUCUUUUGUAGAAUUUGAAUUGAUAAUGUCUGAUAAGAGUAUUGACAAGUUUAAGCCACAAAAAGGUGUAAGGCAAGGAGACCCUCUUUCUCCCUUUCUCUUUAUUAUAGUUGCUGAUGUGUUAUCUCAAAUGGUAUCUUAUCAUAUUGAAAAAGGGGAUUUGAAAGGUAUAAGGUUGGCUAAACGGUAUCCUGUAUUAUCCCAUUUAUUUUUUAUGGAUGAUUCUCUCUUUUUUAUGAAAGCGGAGAAAGAUAAUUGUGUGAUUUUGAAGAAAAUAAUAGAUGUAUACUAUGCUGUUUAUGGUCAGCAAAUUACUUUAGAAAAAUCUUGUCUAUUUUUUUCCUCUAAUGCUGAUUCUGAUUUAAGAGAAGAAAUUUCUACUAUUCUUCAAAUUCUUGAUGUAGAUCAACCAGGUAAAUACCUUGGUUUGCCUAUGAUUUAGGGGCGGUCUAAGGCUGCUUCUCUUGCUUUUGUGAGAAACAAGAUUGGGUUGAAGAUUCAGGGUUGGAGGCAAAGAUUACUAACCUUUUCAGGAUAUUAUUACAGCUAAAGAAUCAUGCAAAGAUGUUGGUUUCUCUUUGGUGGCUCACCAAGGUAAUGAAGCUGCUAACUUCUUAGCAGUGAUAGGCUCUAAGAAAAUGUGUUCAAUGGAAUGGCUUUCUGUAGCUACAUCAUUUUUGUUUAGGUUGUUAUUUGUUGAUUUGGAAGCUUAUAAUUGUCAUCAUUUUUCUUUUGCUUCUGCUGGUUUCUCUCAUAAUAAAGAGGGAAUUGGUUAAUAUGUUGUUUUAGUUUUUUAGAUUGAACAGUUAUGUUACUGUUUUUGGUUGGUUUUUUUUUUUUUGUUUUGUAAGUUAAGUGUUAGGUUGUAUUUUAGGUUUUUUUUUUGAGUGUUUUUUGGCUUUGAUUAUUAAUGUUUGUAAUAAUUUUUUGGAGAUAAAUAAAAUUGGUUUUUUUUGAAAAAAAAUAA